GAAGUGAUUAGUGCAAUGAAUUGAAAGUGGAAAAAUUGAUCGGUAUCCAACUAAAAAAUAUCUUUCUAACCGCGAGAGCUCCAAUCUAUUGAAAAUCAAGAACUUUCAUCAUGAGUUUAGAAAAAAAUUUACGAAAACCGAUGUUUUUAUUGGAAAACCUUACGGAUGAUAUAAAUAGUAAUAAAUUAGCUACUGAUGAACAAGCUUUAAGGUUACUAUUUUAUUAUACUAAAAACGUGAAAAUAACAGUGUGCGAUGGAUGUAAAAUAACUAUUGAAAAAGUUAAAAAGUUUUGGAUAUUUGCUCGUAUUUUUAUUUUAGAUGACAAACGAUGUAUUUAAAAAUUGUAAAAAUUGCACGAUGAAUACAGAAAUCUGCAUAAAAAUGCAGGUGUGUCCUCAAACCAACAAAAAGAGCAAGAGUUUUCAAUUAAAUUAUAAAGUUUAUUUGACAUAGCUCACGGCAGAGUUUUUGAAAUGGUCAGCAAUGAUAUAAAAACUUUUUAAUCGAUCAACGAUCAGAAAGAUAAUUCCAUCUGAAUUUUUCGGACAAUCAACGAGGAAAUGUAAUUGAUUUAUCUGAAACAAGAUCAUGAUCGCCCUACUGAAGUAUCAACUUCUGAUAAUCCACUUGUUGUAAAUGAUAAUCGGUCCAUCGAAGUGUUAACCUCUAAAAACAUUAAAGCAGCAUCUUGUUAUAUAGAACACCAGUUGAACGAUUCUGAAUUAUCAAGAGAAAAUUCAGAAAACUAUUUGCCAUUGCGUUUGACAAGCGCGGGUGGAUCAAUGUCUAGUGGGGAAGCAUUAACUUUUUCUUGAUGAUGAUUAUAUAAAAGGAUAAGAGAUUGCUAUCAAGAUUAAAGUUGUUAAUGAUGUAGCGGAGAGAGAGAGAGCUGUACAAUUGGCUCAAGAAUGUAUAAAUAUGGUAGCUAAAGAUGAGAAUCAAAAACAAUAUCUUCUCCAGGUGAUAAAAAAGUAUAAGAAUGAAUUUUCAAAUGCUACUAAGGAAUGCCUGACAACAAAAAUAAAAGUUCAAUAAUUAA